UACGUAGGGUGCAAGCGUUGUCCGGAAUUAUUGGGCGUAAAGAGCUUGUAGGCGGUUUGUCGCGUCUGCUGUGAAAUUUCGGGGCUCAACCCCUAACUUGCAGUGGGUACGGGCAGACUAGAGUGUGGUAGGGGAGACUGGAAUUCCUGGUGUAGCGGUGAAAUGCGCAGAUAUCAGGAGGAACACCGAUGGCGAAGGCAGGUCUCUGGGCCAUAACUGACGCUGAGAAGCGAAAGCAUGGGGAGCGAACAGG
rnacentral:rRNA from 1 species